rnacentral:lncRNA from 1 species
UGCCCUGGAGAAGCAACAAACUUGUAGACAAGAUGUGGAUGGUGACUGAACUGCUGCUGUAAACUUGUACCCAGAACAAGCAGGACAAAGCAAAUCUCCACUGUUGGCACGUGAUUUAAGGUGGACACGGAGUGGUAAAAGAUGGGAGUGAACAGAGGGGAAAAUCUGGCUUGAAGAGAAUGGGGAGUACAUGCUGCA